AUGGCCCACUCGUACAUUCCGGUUCUUGCACGCCGUCCACACCCAGCGGACGACUGCCGGCGAUGUUCGAUUAGCC
rnacentral:sRNA from 1 species